UACGAAGGGGGCUAGCGUUGUUCGGAAUCACUGGGCUUAAAGCGUGUGUAGGCGGACGCCUAAGUACCUUGUGAAAUCCCACGGCUCACCCGUGGAACCGCUGGGUAUACUGGGCGUCUUGGGCCAUUCAGGGGCAACUGGAACAAGCGGUGGAGCGGUGAAAUGCGUAGAUAUCGCUUGGAACGCCGACGGUGAAAACAGGUUGCUGGGAAUGUGCCGACGCUGAGACACGAAAGCCAGGGGAGCAAACGGG
rnacentral:rRNA from 1 species